rnacentral:lncRNA from 1 species
GAUUAAAGGCAUGGGCCACCAACACCCGGCGCACAGAAGCAUCUUGAAGCACAAAAAUUUUAAAUGUAAACUUUUGGAGCUGGGGAAAAUGGCCCAGUCAGUAAUACUUGCUGUGGAAUCAUGAGAACUGGGGUUAAGAUCCCUUGUACCUGAAUAAAAAGCCAGCAGCAAAGUAUUUAUCUCUAAUUCCAGCUCUCAAGAAACAGACAGGAGAGUUUCUGAGGCUGGCUAACCAUUCAGAUAAGCUGAAAUGGUGAACUUCAGGUGGUAUAAAAGAUUCCUGUCUUAAAAAAAAGUUACGUAGAGAGCUACUGAAAAAGAUCUAUUUCUCUGCUCUUCUUGGGCAUACACACACACACACACACACACACACACACACACACACACACAAGGACAUACAUAUUUCUAAAAGGUCUAGUUUUUGAAAUCUAUUCUGGGGCUAGGUAUGGAAUAGCAUUGGUAGAGUACUUGUCUAGCAUGUUUGAAGCCAUGAUUUGUAUUGCCAGAACUCAAAAGGUAAAGACAAAAAGAUUGCAAAAUCAUGUGUGAGGUGUGUGUUUCUUGCAGUGCUGUGAAUUGAGCUCAGGAUUUCCUACAUGCCAGGUAAUCACUUUGUACCAGUUUAGCUGUAUCACUAGCCCUCAGUUUUUUUGUUUUUUGUUUUAGUUUUUUGUCAAGCAGGAUGCCACUGCUUAGCUCAUGUUUGCCUCAGGCUCUUGAGUGUUUGGAUUACAGGUAUGUGGGACAAAGUUUGGUUGAGAAGCAGAAGUUUGAGGCCAGUCUAGGCACUAUUAAGACCUUGAUUUAAUUUUUUUUUCAAGACAGGCUUUUUCUGUGUAGUUCUGGUUAUCCUGGAACUCACUCUGUAGACCAGGUUAGCCUCGAACUCAGAAAUCCACCUGUCUCUAAGACCCUGUUUUAAUAGGUGUAGUGGGCCAUGCCUUUAAUUCCAGCACUAAGGAAUAGACAUAGGCAGAUAGAUCUCUCUGUGAGAUUGAGGCCAUCCUGAUCUACAUAGUGAGCUCCAGAGCUAUAGAGUGAGACCCUGUCUUGAAAUAACAACAGCAAAACAAACAAACAAACAAACAAACCAAAAAAGGACUCAUUUUCAAAGACUCUUAAGUGAUACUUUUUGGCCCUACACCAUACUCUUUCAUACUCAAGUUUGAACUUUAAGUUGUUUUUCAUAGUGUAUACUGUGUACAUUGAACAUAGCUCCCUUUUUGUUUGUUUUUUGACACAGGGUCUUAUUUAGAUCAACUUGACGCAAAUUUAUAGUCCUUUUACCUGACCCUCCUUCGUGCUGGAAUUCUGGGAUUAUAGGCAUAUGUCACCACACCUAAAUCACUUUUCUUUUUUUUUAAAGAUUAAUUAAUUUAUUAUAUGAAAGUACACUGUAGCUGUCUUCAGACACACCAGAAGAGGGCAUUGGAUCUUGUUACAGAUGGUUGUGAGCCACCAUGUGGUUGCUGGGAUUUGAACUCCGGACCUCUGGAAGAGCAGUCGGGUGCUCUAACCCACUGAGCCAUCUCACCAGCCCCUAAAUCACUUUUCUUUCUUCCCUUCAUUCUUUUCAUGUGACAGGAUCUCACUUAGUCCAGACUGGCCUCAAACUCAGUGAGCAUCACCUAGAUUUUUCAUCAUCUGCCUCUAUAUCUUAAAUAUUGGGAUUUUAGGCAUGUGUACAUCACACUUGGUUUACACCAGUGGGUCUCAACCUUCCUAAUGCUGUAACCCUUUACUACAGUUCCUUAUGUUAUGGUGAUCCCCCCAACAUAAAAUUAGUUUCCUUGCUACCCCAUAACUGUAAUUUUGCAACUGUUAGGAAACAAAAUGUAAAUAUCUGUGUUUUCUGAUGGUCUUAGGGGAUCUCUGUGAAAAGGUCCAUUAAAGGGGUUGUGACUCACAGGUUGAAAACUACUGAUUUAUAUGGUGCUGGGGACUGAAUUUAUGGCUUCGUGAAUGCUAGACAAACACUGUACUAAUUAAGCAGCGUCCUGGGCCUUCUUCCUUUGUUAUUUUAUUUUAUUUUUUGUUUUUUUUUGGGGGGGGGUUUGUUUGUUUGUUUGUUUUUUGAGACAGGGUUUCUCUGUGUAUAUCCCUGGCUGUCCUGGAACUCACUCUGUAGACCAGGCUGGCCUCGAACUCAGAGAUCCGCACCUGCCUCUGCCUCCCAAGUGCUGGGAUUAAAGGCGUGCGCCACCACCGCCCGGGAUGUUAUUUUAAUUUUUUAAUCUUGUAACUGAACACAUAUUUAUUCUUUAACUUUUACUGAUAAAUAUGUUUACCACAGUGAGUGUGUAUAUGUGUUGUAUGUGUGUAUUCAUUCAUGUCAGUGUUUUCCUUGGUUGUUGUCUAUCUUAUUUUUAAAUGUUUAUGUUUUAUUAUUAGAGUGUGGGAGGGUAUGCACGUGUGUGUGCUGGAACACACGUGGAGGUCAGAAAGCUUUGUGGAAUCAGUUCUCUCUGCCUUUACAUGGAUCUGAGAGAUCAACUCAGUUUCCAGGCUCGUGUGCCAAGAGUCUAUCUGCUGAUCUAGCUCAUUGUCCUGUGCCUUGUUUUUGAGACAGCGUGUGUUGGAUUGGCUGGCCAGCAAAUGCCUUUCCAGCCCAGGGGUUACAGUUGUGCUGCUGUCUUAGCUUGUUUGGAGGGAAUAGGGAUCUGAACUCAGGGCCUCUUGCAUGGUGAAGGCUUUACUGUUGGGUCUGUUCCUUCAGCCUCCUACAAGGAGUAUUUGACUGGUCAUUGUUUUUAAUGCAUCUCAAAGAAUUUGAUUAUUUAGGCUUUGUGUCUGUACGCACACACACAAGACAGGGUUUUACUCUAUAGCCAGGCUGACUUCAGACUAACUGUAAAGCCUGGCUUAAGAUUCAUAGCUAUCCUCCACCUUCCAGCCUCCAAAGUGCUGGGAUUCUAGGUGUAAGCUGCUGCACUUGGCUUAACUUUUACUUACUUUUUUUUUUUUUUUUUUACUUUUAAAUAAACAGCUCUUUAGGGCUGGAGAGAUAGAUGACUUGGCAAUUAAGAACAUUUGUUUUCUUGUAGAAAACCUGGAUUCAGUUCUCAGCACCCACAUGAUUGUUCACAAGUAUUGAAACUCCAGUUCCAGGAUAUCUGAUGAUUUUUUUUUUUGGCCUUAGUGGGCACCACAUGCACAAAUAAUACAAUACAGAACAUACAUAUAGACCAAUACUCAUAAACAUAAAGUAAAAAAAUAAAUAAAAAGAUGCACUAUUUCACAUGUAUUGUAUGUGUGCAUAUAUAUAUAUAUACAUAUAUAUAUGUAUGUAUAUAUAUGCAUGUUCAUGGCAUAGCAUGUAUGUGGAAGAAAGAAAGACUUGUAGGCUCUUUAAAAAACACAUGGGUUCUAGAGAUCCAACUUAAGUCAUUGUGCUUAUAUGGCAAGAAGUUUUACCUACUGAGGUAUCUCCCCAGCCUGUAAGCACAUAAGUAUUUUUGUUUUAGUGGCCUAUCUUUGUAUUUGGCUCUUUCUAUUGUGUUUACUUUUCAAAUACUUUACCCCUUGUGAUCAAAGUAAGAAUGAUAAGCAAAAGUGGAGUGCUGUGUGCACUUAAUGACUCUUCCUUACUGAAGAACUGGUGAGAAGGUAACACACGCUCUGUGACAAUGAGAAUAAUCCAUGCCUGGUCUCCUCACCUCUGCUUGCUUUCCCCUUUCUUCUGAGCUCCUUACUGAUUGCCCUCUUAUUCCUGUGCUCUUUUGCUGCAAAGGGUUUCCUGGGGAAUUUUUAUUCUUUGAAUUUGUAAAUACUUGAUUUGCAUUUAGUGUGGAAUCUUUUUGCAUAAUGUACCCAUCUUAAGUGUAGAGUUCAGCAUUUUUAGUAUUUUGAUACAAUUGUGCAAACAUGAUCAUAAGUCUAAUUCCAGCACAGUUCUUCCCCCCCAAACGUUCUGUUGGGUGUGGUGCUAGAUGCCUGGAAUCCCAGGAUUGGGCUAUAUAUGGAGGGAGGGUCAGGAGAUGAGGGUCAUCAUCCUCACAGCCUGGUGUACAGAGUGAGUUCCAGGACUACACAGAAAUGUUGUCUG